AAAACUGUUUAAAUCACCCUGAAGCUCAAGACCGGUUACUGACUGAAGAUAAGCGGGGCUGAGCCUGGUCAGUACCUGGAUGGGAGACCACAUGGGAAAACUAGGUUGCUGUUGGA
rnacentral:rRNA from 1 species